rnacentral:lncRNA from 1 species
AACGACGUCGCUGACCAACUCUUUCUUUCCAAUCAUCUCAGCCAUGUGAAAUCACAGACUCACUUGAGAAUUAUCCAGCUGGCAACUACUCUGUUAUUCGGGCAGCUACCCUAUCUGCCCGUAACUUCCCCUUUCUCUCCCUUCUAUAUAAAUCACUCACUCCCUUUCCCAAAUAGUUCACAAAUCUCACUGCUCCAUAACAAUUUUCCAAACCCUCAAAGAAUCAAACUAAGUAACCGUCAUCAAUGGCAUUCUCCAAAGUCAUGUUCAUCACCGCAAUGUCGGUGCUCGCCGCCUUCAUCUCCGUCGCCGCAGCCGCCGAGACUCCAGCUCCUAGCCCCGCCUCUCCCGCCGCUUAUGUGUCACCGUCCUUCGCUGCCGGUGCUGUUGCCGCCGUUGUUGCUCUCGCUUUUGGAUCUGCGUUCAAGAUCUGAACAUGUGUUUAAUGGAUUUUCAAUUUUAUCUACAGUGUGGAUUUUAAAUUAAGUAGAGAGUAUGGGACUUGAUUAGUAGUAUAUAAAUUCUCUCUCUAUAUAUUGAUAUGUAGGAGCUAUAUUGAGUAUAUGUUGGUUUCUGAUUCUUAGUUGAUUUUAUGAUUGGAGGAGUGUUAUGUUGUUUGUGAUCAUUGUUUCUGGUACAUAAUCAAUUUCUUCUUAUUCUAAUCUGUGUUGUGUUUCUUUAGUUAUAAUUAUUGUUUUUGUUUAGUUCGCCUUAAUCGGUUAAACGUUAUCGAAGUAUGUUGAGUCUUUGAUUUUAGAUUUUAGAGAAGUUAAACGUGAAUAACUCAUUAUAGUCUCUGGAGAAAUUAAUUAUAACUGAUAUUAUUUAAUUUGUUAGAGCAACCGUGUAUCACAAAACGCAUAAAAUUACUAACUAAGAACGGG